AGCAGUGUGGUAUGGUAGUUUAAGCAUUAGAUUAUGACUCUGGAGACCAGGGUUCAAUUCCCUGCUCAGCCA